UAGAGUAUAGUGUAUGGGUAGCACAAGGAGUUUUGAGCUCUUUAGAUUAGGUUCAAUUCCUAUUACUCUAG
rnacentral:tRNA from 1 species